rnacentral:rRNA from 1 species
AACGAACGCUAGCGGCGUGCCUAACACAUGCAAGUCGUACGAGAAAUCCCGGGCAACUGGGAGAGUAAAGUGGCGCACGGGUGAGUAACGCGUGGGUAAUCUACCUUGGAGUUCGGAAUAACACCUCGAAAGGGGUGCUAAUACCGGAUAUCGUCUUCGGGGUUUCGGCUCUGGAGAUGAAAGACGGCUGAGGCUUGCAAGCUAUUGCUCCAAGAUGAGCCCGCGUACCAUUAGCUAGUUGGUGGGGUAACGGCCCACCAAGGCAAGGAUGGUUAGCUGGUCUGAGAGGAUGACCAGCCACACUGGAACUGAGAUACGGUCCAGACUCCUACGGGAGGCAGCAGUGAGGAAUCUUGCGCAAUGGGAGCAACCCUGACGCAGCAACGCCGCGUGAGUGAUGAAGGCCUUCGGGUCGUAAAGCUCUGUCAGGCGGGAAGAAAGUUUUCAGGGUGAACAAUCCUGGAGAUUGACGGUACCGCCAGAGGAAGCACCGGCUAACUCCGUGCCAGCAGCCGCCGUAAGAC